rnacentral:tRNA from 1 species
GGGCCCAUAGCUCAGUUGGUUAGAGCAGAGGACUCAUAAUCCUUUGGUCCACGGUUCGAGUCCGUGUGGGCUCA